rnacentral:RNase_MRP_RNA from 1 species
CGUUGUGCUGAAGGCCUGUAUCCUAGGCUACACGCUGGGGACUUGUUCCUCUUUCCUGCCUAGGGGAAAGUCCCCGGACCUGGGGCAGAGAGUGCCGCGUGCCAAGGCACGUAGACUUUCCCCGCUUUCCACUGUAAAGUCCGCCAAGAAGCACGUUCCGCUGAGCGGCGUGGUGCGGGGGCGUCGUCCGUCAGCUACUCUAGUUACGCAGGCAGUGCGUUUCGGCGCACCAACCACACGGGGCUCAUUCUCAGCGCGGC